UACGUAGGGUGCGAGCGAUAAUCGGAAUUACUGGGCGUAAAGCGUGCGCAGGCGGUGAUGUAAGACCGAUGUGAAAUCCCCGGGCUUAACCUGGGAACUGCAUUGGUGACUGCAUUGCUGGAGUAUGGCAGAGGGGGGUGGAAUUCCACGUGUAGCAGUGAAAUGCGUAGAGAUGUGGAGGAACACCGAUGGCGAAGGCAGCCCCCUGGGCCAAUACUGACGCUCAUGCACGAAAGCGUGGGGAGCAAACAGG
rnacentral:rRNA from 1 species